GCCAGGUGUGGUGGCACACGCCUGUAAUCCCAGCACUUUGGGAGGCUGAGGUGGGCGGAUCACCUGAGGUCAGGAGUUCGAGACUAGCCUGACCAACAUGGUGAAACCCCGUCUCUA
rfam:Gorilla gorilla gorilla genomic chromosome, chr13, whole genome shotgun sequence